UAAAACAAGACACGAUCUGAUAUUUCCCCUCAAUGCCCGUCCUCUCCUCCCGCAGCAAUACACCUCCGGCCAGAUCUUCCCCCUCCCAGAUCCUCUCAUGCCACUACGCCCCGGCCGCCGCUGCCACCCGACUUCAGGCCUGCGUUUACAUCUCUAUCUUGGUCGUCGGUCUCGUCUAUUUAUCUCUAUCGUGGUCGCCGUCGGUUCAUCCGUUCGUACUUCAUUAUUCGCACUGGCGUUAUGGCUUGAGAUGUUUAGGGUUCGUCAAGUAUGUGCAGCUGUGAGCCGACGAGCGAAACUCUGCUCCACAACCGGCCAUCGACGACGGGCACGGGGCACCACUCGAUCUGUGCAGAGAUCCGUUUUUUUUUUCAGGUGAUUGUGCUUCGUGGAUCCGUUUGUGUCUCCUGUCGUUCCCGCUCCUCAAACAAGGGCGCCCCUCGAUCCCAGAUCCCCUGCCAGGGGUGCCAAACCAUCGUCCCCACCACGAUUCUCCUUUAAUCAGAACAUUAUCACGUUGCUGCUGACAUAUGUGUGUUCGCAUUGGUGAUUCUGGAGCCAAUGAGGUGAAGGACUGUUCCAGUUUGGCAAACCCUAUCAGGAACCACAUCACGUACUGUAGCUUCGGUAUUCCUGCAACUUUAACUUGUGCCUAUGGUUUCACUAAAUUGACAAAUGUGUUGUUGAUUACUAUGCCCAGCUCGUUUUUUUCAAAGGUGUGGUAUGCAUCUUUCAGAGCUAGUCAGGGAUUAACUAGUUGGUUGUAAAAAUACGGGAAACUGAGCUGACUUCUGAAAUUCUAUUGCAGAAUGCUCUGUCAUCAAAGAGGGCGCCUACUAAGAUAUAAAAUUGUAUUCGCUGGAGAUAUGCACAACAUGUAUUAUAUUGGGAAUCCUCUCUACUCAAGGAAGGAACCGACAAAGAUAUGAAAUUGUAUUGCAGAAUCUUUACACACUGGAUCAGAAAUUUCUGUUUGGUUUCUUGUGAUAACAUGCUUAUGCUUAUGCAUUUUUAUACGAGAGGUAAAGCUUCAGUA